ensembl:lncRNA
UUUUUUUUUUUCUUUUUUUCUUUUUUUUUUUUUUUGUCUUUUUGCCAUUUCUUGAGCAGCUCCGUGGCAAUAUGGAGGUUCCCAGGCUAGGGGUCUAAUCGGAGCUGUAGCUGCCAGCCUACACCAGAGCCACAGCAACGGUGAUCUGAGCCACAUCUGUGACCUACACCACAGCUCAUGGCACCGCUGGAUCCCCAAUCCCCAACCCACCGGGCAGGGCCAGGGAUCGAAGCCGCUACCUCAUGGUUCCUAGUCCAUUUCGUUAACCACUGAGCCAGGACGGGAACUCCCUGAGGGGCUGUCCUUCUUCCCUCUCUCACCUCACCUAACAAAUGGUACUUGGUAACCGACUUGCGCAGUUACUGAAACUCUAUCAACAGCAAGUUAGCCCUUAUACCUGAGAAAAUUCUCUACCUGGUUACACUGGCAUUUCAGCCCUGAUAGUGUAAAAUUAGGUAUAGCAGAGACUAGUGGAAAUACCUAAUAGUGGCAGUUCAGUGGCCAAGUUCUUGCAGGACUAGAACAGUUAAUCACCCUGUGUCUCAAAUUCUUCAUUUGCAAAAAUGAGCUGAAAUAGAGCUGACCUAAGUCUUUUCCUAAUUAAAAACCUAAUAGUCUUUCCACAUCCUUAUCAGUGAUCCCAGUCAGAUCCUGUUAAUUAUAACUUAAUACUGAGUCUCUCAUAAUAAUAAUGUGUUGAAAGAAAAGGAGGACACUGCAGAAACCUCGCUGUUAGAUUCUACAGCGGGACAGGAACACAGAAAGCAUCAACAAAAUAUUUAAAUGUAUUCCAACCGCACCACCUGCCUAAGGACCCUCUCUGUACUCACUCAAAACUAGAAGGUUUUGAGAAUUAUAAAAGAGAUCCAUACGGAUACAACCGCCACAGCAGCCCUUCCAUGUAUACAGGAUGCUGCUGCAUUUUACUAGCUUAUAACAUACCUUUUGGUACAUGGCAAAACUACACUUUUCCCGUUGCAAAUGCCCUAGUUCUUCUCACGAAGUUAUUGUAAGUCUUAAAAUGUCACUAAUUUGUCCCUUAAAGCAAAUAUACAAAAUACUGUGACAUAUGAAAAAUGGCCACCAUGUCCUUCAGUUGCUUCAAGAUAUACCAUGUAAAUCCCUGAGUUGCUAAAUAGAAUCCUACUCCCCAGAUGUUUUAUCUAAAGGAUUUUUAAAAUCUAUUUUCUGGAGUUCCCAUUCGUGGCUCAGUGGUUAAUAAAUCCAACUAGGAACCAUGAGGUUUUGGGUUUGAUUCCUGGCCUGGCUCAGUGGGUUAAGGAUCCUGCGUUGCUGUGGCUCUGGCAUUAGGCCAGCGGCUGCAGCUCCAAUUAGACCCCUAGCCUGGGGACGUAAAAAGUCAAAAAAAAAAAAAAACCUAUUUUCUUCUGUUUUGAAUCUUUCAGGCAACUUAAUCUGCUUCAAUUUCAAAGACAUAAAUUAUUUUUCAGUAAGUAAAUAAAGUCAUUUUUGACUACAUGGUUAGCAUAAAGCUUUGUAUGAAUUUUCCUUGCAUGAGUACAUUUCCUUUGUAUGAGUACAAUUUAAGAUGCAAAUUAUUUCUGCUUUAUCAUUUGAGCCUUUUAAUAAAUGUAUUUUAAUAUGGACAAAAAAUUUUGAUCAAUUUUUAUGGAAAGGUAUUAUUACCAUCAAUAAUAUCUAUGAUAUGUUUCUAUUUUAACAAAUAAAUAACCUACCAUUGUUCUACCUUGUUACCAAAAAAAAAAAAACCCAUUUUAAAGUACCAAUGAAAUUACCCCAUCUCUUCUCCCUCUACCUCUCAGCUCUCUUUCCCUUUUAAAAACUCUUACCUCAAAAUUUCCCAAAACUGCACUGUUUCCUAAUUCUCCAGUCCCUCUGUUCUGUUCAUCACUUUCUUCAGGGUACUUUUCACACUUUCUGCCACCACCAUCCCCCUUUGAUUCUCUGCCUGUAUUCUUCUUCCUCUUAAUUCAUUCCUUGUGUAGCUCAUCUACCAAGUUCAACUAACAUUUAUAUACUAAUUAAUCAACAAACAAUGUUUUCAGCCCUAAUCUCCAACCAAUCUCUGAUUCCCUAUUUCCAGUUACCUUCAAGGUAUGACUAUUUGAAUGACUUGUUAUGCUAUCAGAAUUCCAAACUUCUAGUUUCUCUCAAUCCUCCUAAUACCUCUGUACAUAAACCCAUAUUUGGGGACAUCUUAAGCCCAGAAUGAAUUAUAUUACCUUUAUUUCAUCACAGGAUGCUAAAAUGGUCACUAAAUUGCCACUAAAAAUGUAACAACUGUUUUCAAUACAAACUGAUGAGUGCAUAAUAUUCUCUAAGUUCAUAAAAGUUCACUGUUUCCUUACUGGACAUUGGUUGCUAAUUUUUCAAUAUUACAAAGCUACAAUAUUUAUCAUUACACAAAUUUUUAUUUAAGACUAUCACCUUAGUGUAGAAUCCAGAAGUGAAAUUAUGGAGCCAAAAGACAUAAGCAUGAUGAAAAUUUUUGAUAAUUCUGAGAAGUUUAUUUCCAAAAUAGGGCUAUCAUAAGAAUGUUGGCUUCAGAAGAUCUGAGAUCUAGUCUAUUUUGUACAUAUUGCAGGCAUGGUAAUACAACAGUGAACAGCAAGCAGUAAGUACUCAAUUUUACUUAAAUUAAUCAGCUGAUCAUAUGCAUCAAAGUAUUCAUAAAUAUUUAACAUUCUUUUAUAUCCUUGCUAUAUAUUUCCACUCAGCUUUAAGUGACCAUUUCACUUGCUUUGACCAAAAGUAUCACAUGUAUGAUACUUUUAGGCAAAUGUUUUUAAGGGCCGUUUGUCUUAUUUCUCCCUCUGUCACCACAACCAAAAUGGCAGGCAAAGUUUGUUACUUUUAUUAUUAUUAAUCAUUUUUCAUAUGGUAAAAUGAAGUUUUCUUUCUUAAAACAUAUACUUUUUAUUGAGCAGAAAGUUACAGGAAACUCCCUUAAAAAGAAUUCAGUGCAAGAAGGCCCUUUGGAAGAACUGCAG